rnacentral:rRNA from 1 species
ACGUGGGUAAUCUGCCUAGGAGCGGGGGAUAACUCGGGGAAACCUGAGCUAAUACCGCAUACGCUCUGAGAGCUUCGGCUCGAUGAGGAAAGUUGGCCUCUACAUGUAAGCUGACACUCCUAGAGGAGCCCGCGGUCGAUUAGCUUGUUGGUGGGGUAACGGCCUACCAAGGCGACGAUCGAUAGCCGGCCUGAGAGGGUGAUCGGCCACACUGGGACUGAGACACGGCCCAGACUCCUACGGGAGGCAGCAGUGGGGAAUAUUGGACAAUGGGCGCAAGCCUGAUCCAGCAACGCCGCG